rnacentral:misc_RNA from 1 species
AACUCUCAAACCUACAUCUUUAUUGAUGUCGGGCUUGGAUUUGGACGUUGCUGGACGCGAGUUCGGCUCGUCUCGAAUGUAUUAGCUGUAGGUUUCGAUUUCAGUUAAACCGUGUGAUAAUACAUCAACGCGGGCAGCCGUCAAGGCGCUGAAUCGUUAGUUCGAAGGCUUCUAAUCGUCCUUUUGGGACCGCCUUUACUGGUGUUUGAUUUCAA